rnacentral:lncRNA from 1 species
UUGGGAUUGGCUGGCUGAUUAGAUCCACUAUGGCUCAUGUUCCUGUGUUGGUGUCAUUUUAUCCCCUCAGAUAUGAUCCUUGAAAGCUCCCUGCAGCCAACUACAGAGAGGAUUUGGAGACUUACAGUGAAAUGACUGACACUAGGUCAACCGCCAAGAGCUGUGAGUGGGCUAGGGCGUGAAGGAGGUGAUGUGGAGACAAUGGAGCUGCUAACCCUGUGGUCAACGGUGGAUCCAACUGAUUCACUCACCUCGGCCCACUUCUGCUUUUGGGAUCAUGGUGUACCAGGAAGCUGAGCCAGGAUAUCUAUAUAUCCUGCAGAGAGAUCAGACUUCCUUGGGACCAGACUGGAUCUGGAGCGUGGACCGGAGUCUUGCAUCCCCCCAACACCUGGAUUUAGAGGUAGCCUACUGA